rnacentral:rRNA from 1 species
CCCCCGGCUUAACCGGCGAAUGCUUGGGCGAACUGGCAGUCUUGAGGCAGGUAAGGGCGAGUGGAACUCUUGGUGGACCGGUGGAAUGCGUAGAUAUCAAGAGGAACGCCGGAGGCGAAAGCGACUCGCUGGGCCUGACCUGACGCUGAGGUGCGAAAGCCAGGGGAGCGAACGGGAUUAGAUACCCCGGUAGUCCUGGCCAUAAACGAUGUCCACUAGAUCGGUGAACCUCUGACAGUGCGCCGGUCGAAACAAAAGCGUUAAGUGGACCGCCUGGGGAGUACGGUCGCAAGGCUAAAACUCAAAGGAAUUGACGGGGGCUCACACAAGCGGUGGAGCAUGUUGCUUAAUUCGAUGCAACGCGAAGAACCUUAUCCUGGGCUUGACAUGGUAGGAUGCCUCCCUGGAAACAGGGUUGGUUGCCCCUCGGGGUGAAACUAUCACAGGUGCUGCAUGGCUGUCGUCAGCUCGUGUCGUGAGAUGUUGGGUUAAGUCCCGUAACGAGCGAAACCCUUGUCGUUAGUUGCCAGCGCGUAAUGGCGGGGACUCUAGCGAGACUGCCGGUGUUACACCGGAGGAAGGUGGGGAUGACGUCAAGUCCUCAUGGCCUUUAUGUCCAGGGCUGCAAACGUGCUACAAUGGCGUGUACAAACCGACGCAAGACCGCGAGGUGGAGCAAAUCGGAAAAAGCACGCCCCAGUUCGGAUUGGAGUCUGCAACUCGACUCCAUGAAGUCGGAAUCGCUAGUAAUCGCGUAUCAGCUCGACGCGGUGAAUGUGUUCCUGAGCAUUGUACACACCGCCCGUCAAGUCA